rnacentral:rRNA from 1 species
CGUGUAGGCGGGAAUGUAAGUCAGAUGUGAAAUUCCGAGGCUCAACUUCGGAGCUGCAUCUGAAACUAUGUUUCUUGAGUGCUGGAGAGGAAAGCGGAAUUCCUAGUGUAGCGGUGAAAUGCGUAGAUAUUAGGAGGAACACCAGUGGCGAAGGCGGCUUUCUGGACAGUAACUGACGCUGAGGCGCGAAAGCGUGGGGAGCAAACA